rnacentral:rRNA from 1 species
AGUGAACGCUGGCGGUAGGCCUAACACAUGCCAGUCGAACGGCAGCACAGUAAGAGCUUGCUCUUACGGGUGGCGAGUGGCGGACGGGUGAGGAAUACAUCGGAAUCUACUUUUUCUUGUGGGAUAACGUAGGGAAACUUACGCUAAUACCGCAUACGACCUACGGGUGAAAGCAGGGGAUCUUCGGACCUUGCGCGAUUGAAUGAGCCGAUGUCGGAUUAGCUAGUUGGCGGGGUAAAGGCCCACCAAGGCGACGAUCCGUAGCUGGUCUGAGAGGAUGAGCAGCCACACUGGAACAGAGACACGGAAAAGACUCCUACGGGAGGCAGCAGCGGGGAAUAUUGGACAAUGGGCGCAAGCCUGAUCCAGCAAUACCGCGUGGGUGAAGAAGGCCUUCGGGUUGUAAAGCCCUUUUGUUGGGAAAGAAAAGCAGCAGGUUAAUACCCCGCUGUUCUGACGGUACCAAAAGAAUAAGCACCGGCUAACUUCGUG